rnacentral:misc_RNA from 1 species
CCUAGAGUUGUAGGCUUUGCCUGCUAUCUCUUACCCAUGUCUUUUGAGUACCUUCGUUUCCUCGGCGGGUCCGCCCGCCGAUUGGACAAUUUAAACCAUUUGCAGUUGCAAUCAGCGUCUGUAAAAACUUAAUAGUUA